GCCGAAGAACCCGGCGGCUGUGUCGAUUCUCUGCCUCCCCGACCACCUCUUCCGAUUUUGCGAAGGGGAGGUUGCAUUGCCCGGAGGAAAGGCAGAGGAGGGUGAUGCUGAUGAUGCAGCAACAUCAUUAAGGGAGGCAAAGGAGGAGAUUGGGCUUGAUCCAGCCUUGGUCACUGUCGUUUCCUCGCUUGAGCACUUCUUGCCCAAGUUGUUUCGUCGCUGCGAGGGUCUGGUGUUCAACGACCUCCCCGUGCGUUCAACGAGCUCCGCCCCGG